rnacentral:rRNA from 1 species
UUGAACGCUGGCGGCAGGCCUAACACAUGCAAGUCGCGCGGAUGAAGGGAGCUUGCUCCUGGAUUCAGCGGCGGACGGGUGAGUAAUGCCUAGGAAUCUGCCUGGUAGUGGGGGAUAACGUCCGGAAACGGGCGCUAAUACCGCAUACGUCCUGAGGGAGAAAGUGGGGGAUCUUCGGACCUCACGCUAUCAGAUGAGCCUAGGUCGGAUUAGCUAGUUGGUGGGGUAAAGGCCUACCAAGGCGACGAUCCGUAACUAGUCUGAGAGGAUGAUCAGUCACACUGGAACUGAGACACGGUCCAGACUCCUACGGGAGGCAGCAGUGGGGAAUAUUGGACAAUGGGCGAAAGCCUGAUCCAGCCAUGCCGCGUGUGUGAAGAAGGUCUUCGGAUUGUAAAGCACUUUAAGUUGGGAGGAAGGGCAGUAAGUUAAUACCUUGCUGUUUUGACGUUACCAACAGAAUAAGCACCGGCUAACUUCGUG